ensembl:lncRNA
GGUGGAAACGCAUUGCUAUGAUGAAAGGGGAGCCAGAAACAAAUCUUUUACAGAUUAUGAGGAGGAAUGCUCUUUUCAAUUGGUGCAGUAAAAACAGUUAAAUAUGAGAUGGUAAAUCUUGCCUCUUGUCUCUAUGAACUUGGUGGACACCAUUACGGCUGUCAAUUAGAGAAAGAGGAAACAGUAUUCAUGGUUAGUCUUUUGAAGGCCCUUUUUUUUUUUACCUCCACGCAGCCAAUAGCGAGAGUUUGGGGCGUGGCUACUGUAGCAGCUGAGCCAGAGGAUGUUUAGCCAGAGUGGAAAUAGGCAGUUAGAUUCCGUCAGAGAAGUGCUAGCCAAAAUUCGAUGACUUGUCAAAAUACUCAGACAGACAAGGGUUAACAUUGGCAGCGUUUUGACAAGAUGGAGAAAUUUGAUGAAAUGUUUGGGUUUCAGUCGAUAAGACAAACUUGCCGAGUUUCUUCCCGACAGGGGAAGCUGAACUUAAAGUUUAAACUAUUCCUUAAAUGUUAGACUUUUUAUUGAAAGUAGUCUAAUGUUACUUUUACCUGUUGAGACAUGACUUCCAUUUUUUAUAGACCCUUAAGAGCUGUGUUUGAGUUAGGGAAGGCGUGAGGCGCGAAAAGGACGCUUGCAUAGAUUGUUUGAAAACAUGUAUUAUUUUUGUAUUUCUGCUAGGUGACACUAUAGUAGCGCAGAGACUGCCUACAGAACCUUCAAUGCACGCUGGAGACAUGCACUGUAAGAACACACAGUUCACACAGCCACAUAGUCUGGUCUCCCAUGUGAAAAAGGACUCAACCCUAUGCGGUAUUACUUACCUGUCGAUUCAAGACUCCUUGAUCUCCUGUGGUUCCCUUGUGCGUUCCUGUGUGUGUGUGUCCUACAUCUACUUACCUAGAUCCAACUCUGUUACACCAGCUCCUGGAAACACCCCGAUCCUCACCGUCUCCAUCCGACCUGGUAAUCAAGAACAUUAUCUGUCAGUAUCCUCCUCCUGUUCGUUAAAGACUCUAAAUCUGCAAUACUCACCAGUUCUAUGGUCAUCUACAUCUCGUUUAAUAAACCUGUCUGUUUGA